AUUGAACGCUGGCGGCAUGCCUUACACAUGCAAGUCGAACGGCAGCACGGGAGCAAUCCUGGUGGCGAGUGGCGAACGGGUGAGUAAUAUAUCGGAACGUGCCCAGUCGUGGGGGAUAACGUAGCGAAAGCUACGCUAAUACCGCAUACGAACUAUGGAUGAAAGCGGGGGAUCGCAAGACCUCGCGCGAUUGGAGCGGCCGAUAUCAGAUUAGGUAGUUGGUGAGGUAAAGGCCCACCAAGCCGACGAUCUGUAGCUGGUCUGAGAGGACGACCAGCCACACUGGGACUGAGACACGGCCCAGACUCCGACGGGAGGCAGCAGUGGGGAAUUUUGGACAACGGGCGCAAGCCUGAUCCUGCAAUGCCGCGUGCAGGAUGAAGGCCUUCGGGUUGUAAACUGCUUUUGUACGGAACGAAACGGCCCUUUCUAAUACAGGGGGCUAAUGACGGUACCGUAAGAAUAAGCACCGGCUAACUACGUGCCAGCAGCCGCCGUAA
rnacentral:rRNA from 1 species